GACGAACGCUGGCGGCGUGCCUAAUACAUGCAAGUAGAACGCUGAAGGAGGAGCUUGCUCUUCUGGAUGAGUUGCGAACGGGUGAGUAACGCGUAGGUAACCUGCCUGGUAGCGGGGGAUAACUAUUGGAAACGAUAGCUAAUACCGCAUAACAGUAGAUGUUGCAUGACAUUUACUUAAAAGGUGCAAUUGCAUCACUACCAGAUGGACCUGCGUUGUAUUAGCUAGUUGGUGGGGUAACGGCUCACCAAGGCGACGAUACAUAGCCGACCUGAGAGGGUGAUCGGCCACACUGGGACUGAGACACGGCCCAGACUCCUACGGGAGGCAGCAGUAGGGAAUCUUCGGCAAUGGACGGAAGUCCGACCGAGCAACGCCGCGUGAGUGAAGAAGGUUUUCGGAUCGUAAAGCUUUGUUGUAAGAGAAGAACGAGUGUGAGAGUGGAAAGUUCACACUGUGACGGUAUCUUACCAGAAAGGGACGGCUAACUACGUG
rnacentral:rRNA from 1 species